rnacentral:rRNA from 1 species
GAUGAACGCUGGCGGCAUGCCUAAUACAUGCAAGUCGAGCGGAGCGGGGACGGGUGAAUAACACGUGGAUAACCUCCUCUACGACUGGGAUAACUUCGGGGAACCGGAGCUAAACCGGAUACUUAUACCAGGUUCCGCGCUGCAUUAGCUAGUUGGUAAGGUAACGGCUUACCAAGGCAACGAUGCCUAGCCGACCUGAGAGGGUGAUCGGCCACACUGGAACUGAGACACGGUCCAGACUCCUACGGGAGGCAGCAGUAGGGAAUCUUCCGCAAUGGGCGAAAGCCUGACGGAGCAACGCCGCGUGUGUGAUGAAGGUCUUCGGAUCGUAAAACACUGUUAUUAGGGAAGCGGUACCUAAUCAGAAAGCCACGGCUAACUACGUGCCAGCAGCCGCGGUAAUUC